GGGCCCGUAGCUCAGCAUGGAUAGAGCGGCGGUGGACCCAGCCCAAGUCCGCCGAGCCUCCUAAGGGCGCGUGGCGCCCGUGGAAAGCCGUAGGUCGUGGGUUCGAAUCCCACCGGGCCCG
rnacentral:tRNA from 1 species